rnacentral:tRNA from 1 species
AAUUGAUUAAUCUAAAAAAGAUAAUUGUUUUGAAAACAAUAUAUGGAUAUAUAGUCAUUCCAUCAAUUU